UACGGAGGGUGCAAGCGUUAUCCGGAUUCACUGGGUUUAAAGGGUGCGUAGGUGGGCAGGUAAGUCCGUGGUGAAAUCUCUGAGCUUAACUCAGAAACUGCCGUGGAUACUAUUUGUCUUGAAUAUUGUGGAGGUAAGCGGAAUAUGUCAUGUAGCGGUGAAAUGCUUAGAUAUGAACAUAGAACACCAAUUGCGAAGGCAGCUUACUACACAAUUAUUGACGCUGAGGCACGAAAGCGUGGGAUCAAACAGG
rnacentral:rRNA from 1 species